rnacentral:rRNA from 1 species
UCUAAGUAUAAGCAAUUAUACCGCGAAACUGCGAAUGGCUCAUUAAAUCAGUUAUCGUUUAUUUGAUAGUACCUUACUACUUGGAUAACCGUGGUAAUUCUAGAGCUAAUACAUGCUAAAAAUCCCGACUUACGGAGGGAUGUAUUUAUUAGAUUAAAAACCAAUGCCCUUCGGGGCUCCUUGGUGAUUCAUAAUAACUUCUCGAAUCGCAUGGCCUUGUGCCGGCGAUGGUUCAUUCAAAUUUCUGCCCUAUCAACUUUCGAUGGCAGGGUCUUGGCCUGCCAUGGUUACAACGGGUAACGGAGGGUUAGGGCUCGACCCCGGAGAAGGAGCCUGAGAAACGGCUACUACAUCCAAGGAAGGCAGCAGGCGCGCAAAUUACCCAAUCCCGAUUCGGGGAGGUAGUGACAAUAAAUACUGAUACAGGGCUCUUUCGGGUCUUGUAAUUGGAAUGAGUACAAUUUAAAUCCCUUAACGAGGAACAAUUGGAGGGCAAGUCUGGUGCCAGCAGCCGCGGUAAUUCCAGCUCCAAUAGCGUAUAUUAAAGUUGUUGCAGUUAAAAAGCUCGUAGUUGAACCUUGGGCCUGGCUGGCCGGUCCGCCUCACCGCGUGCACUGGUUCGGCCGGGCCUUUCCCUCUGGGGAUCCUCAUGCCCUUUACUGGGUGUGUUGGGGAACCAGGACUUUUACUGUGAAAAAAUUAGAGUGUUCAAAGCAGGCCUAUGCUCGAAUACAUUAGCAUGGAAUAAUAAAAUAGGACGUGCGGUUCUAUUUUGUUGGUUUCUAGGACCGCCGUAAUGAUUAAUAGGGACAGUCGGGGGCAUCAGUAUUCAAUUGUCAGAGGUGAAAUUCUUGGAUUUAUUGAAGACUAACUACUGCGAAAGCAUUUGCCAAGGAUGUUUUCAUUAAUCAGGAACGAAAGUUAGGGGAUCGAAGACGAUCA